GGGGGGGGGGGGGGCAAACCCCAAAGACACCUCUCACUCUCCCGUUUUACCUUUCCUAGCUUUGGACAUCAAAGGGAGAGUUCUCUCAUUUGGGUUCAUUUAUAUUUCAAUGCAAUUUCAAUUCUGUAAUUGUCGUUUUGUCUCUUCUUCUUGCAAUUUCGAUUCUGCACAUUUAAUUUCACUUUCAUUCAUUCAUUGCAAUUCUGUUUUAGGGUUCUUCAAUUCGUUUCCAGUUGCUUUUGUUUCUAAUCUCGUUUUUGAUUUCCAUAUGCGUUUUAAAUUUCGUUUCCAGUUUUCCAACCAUUACAAUUUCGUUUCUUCAUUUCGUUUUGGGCAUUUCGUUUAUGCAUUUCAUUUUGGGCAUUUUGUUUCUGCAUUGGUUCUGUUAAAAUGUUUCAAUUUUAUUUUGCAUUGUUAAUCUAGGAUUGGAACAUUGAUAUCGAAACAGUGACCAACCGUUUUGCAUUAUUAUUUGAAUUCGUGCUUUACUUUGGUAGCUUUUAGUUAGUAAAACUGUCCACAACCCCUCCCCCCUC
rnacentral:lncRNA from 1 species